UCCAAACACCGAACUUAAAAUUAUGUCCAAUGUUCAAUUAAAACAAAUGAAUAAUUCGAGUGAGUCCCACUAAAAAAAUAACAAAAAAAAGAAGUGUGUUGCAAUGAAACCUCGCCCAGCUCACCUCCGACCCUCGAUCAAUCUUGCCAGGCUUCUCCCCCAAUUUUAUUUCUUUUGGCCCGAUAUUUUUUUCUCCCGCCCGACUUCUUCUCUGAAACCUGUUCAUUCGUUUUCCCUCUUUCCUUUCCGAUCAAACCGCAAGAAACCUCAAAACCCGAGAACAAUACAGCAAUAAAUCAAGUCAAUUUUGCAAGGAUUUAAAUAUAAUUUUCUUGAGGUAAGGUGGGACGUGCGCUUCCGGACAAGGGUCUUCCAGAACUUGCAUGCCGAGUUUCUUUCAUGGACCAAUGACUAUAAAUGGAAGAGCUUUCGUCUGGGA